CAGUAGCCGCGGUAAUGCGUAGGUGGCAAGCGUUGUCCGGAAUUAUUGGGCGUAAAGGGCUCGCAGGCGGUUUCUUAAGUCUGAUGUGAAAGCCCCCGGCUCAACCGGGGAGGGUCAUUGGAAACUGGGAAACUUGAGUGCAGAAGAGGAGAGUGGAAUUCCACGUGUAGCGGUGAAAUGCGCAGAGAUGUGGAGGAACACCAGUGGCGAAGGCGACUCUCUGGUCUGUAACUGACGCUGAGGAGCGAAAGCGUGGGGAGCGAACAGGAUUAGAUACCCCUGUAGUCCCUGUCUCUUAUAC
rnacentral:rRNA from 1 species